GCUCCAGAACCCCCUAAGGUUGUAGAACCUUCAAGCCAGCAGAUGGUCCCAGCUCAGGUUCCAGAGCCAUCUAAGGAGGUUGCAGCUCAACCUCCAGCUCAUUAUGAGAUGACAGUUCCAACACCAGGUCAAGAUCAAGCUCACCACUCAAUAUUGCUUAGUGUCACAGUUCAACCUUUAGACCUGGGGCUUACCAUCACCCCAGAAUCCGCAACAGAAGUUGAACUUUCUCCAACCUUGCAGGAGACCCCAACUCAGCCUCCUAAGAAAGUUGUACCCCAGCUUCCAGUAUAUCAAGAAGUAACAGUUCCAACACCAGGGCAGGAUCGAGCUGAGCACCCAAUGUCACCCAGCGUUGCAGUUCUGUCUUUGGACCUGGGACUUACCAUACCUCCAGAACCCACUACGGAGGUUGAACAUACUACACCCCUGAAGAAGACUAUAGUUCCUUCGAAGCACCCUAAGAUGACACUUCCACAUCCAGACCGUGUUCAGAUUCAGCCUUCAAACCUGACUCAAGCCACAGUUCAACCUCUGGAUCUGGGGCUUACCAUCACUCCUGAAUCCACUGCAGAGGUUGAACCUUCCACAGCCCUGAUGACUACAGCUCCUCCUCCAAAACACCCUGAGGUGACACUUCCACCUUCAGACAAGGGUCAGACUCAGCAUGCAAACCUGACUCAAGUCAUAGUUCAGUCUCUGGACCUGGAGGUUAUCGUAACUACAGAACCUACUACAGAGGUUAAACCAUCUCCAGCCACAGAGGAGAUCUGGGGCUUGCCAUAACUCCAGAACCCACUACAGAGACUGGACAUUCUGUAGCCCUGGAGAAGACUACAGCUCCUCGUCCAGACGAGUUUCAGACUCAGCAUCAAAAACUGACUGAAGUCACAGGUCUACCUACUGAUCAGAACCUACUCAGGAUUCACUGGUGCAGCCUGAAACUUACGCCCAACUUAACUGCACAGAGGAACAGGCCUCCGCAAGCACCAACAUAUGUGACCUCUGUACCUGCAGAGAUGAGACGUUGUUGUGUAUUGAUCUCAGCCCAAAGCAGAAGGUCCGCCACGUGCCUGUGCCAGAGCCCAACACCUACAAUGGCACCUUCACUAUCUUGUAAGCAUCACCUUUCCUCCAUUGUCCUCUGUGUCCUGCCUGACAUGGCAGGCUUUUCCUGGAGGCCUUCCUGGGCCUUCUUUAUCUCCCCAAGCCAUACUGACAGCUGACUUUCUGCUUUCACCUUUGUUUGUCCACUCUUCCUCCUCCUCAUUCUCCUUUACUGUUAGGCUCCUUCUCCAGUCUUUUGCUUUUGAUUGCUCAGCAACAUACAUAUUAAAUGUACAAACAAAUUAUUAAAAGAAGUGAUACAGAAAAUAAUAUGUGUAACUUGAUUUCAUUUAUAUAAUGUUAUAUAAUGUUCAAGAAGGCAAAACUAAACUAUGUUGUUUAUGAAUGACCUAUAAUAGU